GGGCAGGGCUUGAACCUUCUGGUUACUGGUCUAAUAUCUUAACUGCUAAACUACCACCACACCCAGUUAGUCGCGACCCCUGUUGUAACGUGGAGAGAACAUGAGACAGAUGCCACCACUGAGAGCGAGAUUUAUUUUCUGCAAAUCCAAAAUCAGGGUGGAUGGAGCGAUCCAGGGAGCAUGAUAUCAAAGCCACAACACGAAAAGCAGACUGAGAGCGAAAAACACAGAACACAGGCUAGAACUAAUGACAUAUCCUAAGGCAGGCUUAGUACAAUGGCCAGCAAGAAAACAGCAAACACAUGCUUCAUACACAUUAACACAGAACUAGAAACAGGUGUCAUUAAUGAAAGACAUAGAAACUCAAACGAGGGGAAGAAUAACAAGCAAGCGAAGCAAAAAAACAUAAGACAGGGUUACCAUGGCGAUAGAGUCGCUAGGAGAAGCCAAACAAGACACCCGGUGUAGUUUAUCAGUCUGGAACGGGCGAAAAAAACGUGGAAGUCAGUUCUGCGUCACUGCUACAGUAAGAGGUGAACUCUGACCUGUGCAGUUGCCUUGUCUGAGCUAGGCGAUAUUCCUGGAGCAUAACAUUCCGUCUCUGGACCUACAGGAAACAGUCAGGCAUCUUGCAUACGAACGGACAGAGCAGAGCUGCAGGUGUGUGAAAAACAUGGACAAGGGAGAAAGCGUGACUCAAAUCAUGGAGUGGAAGGACGCUUGUAAUCUGAGCUACGGAGGACCUGAUCAAAUCCAGGAUAGUCUGUGUGGGAUCGUCUGCUAAUCCAGAGAGGCUGGGGACGCAAUUCAAAUGGGUUCAGAUUUAUCAAUGUUGAAUUUAAGAUUAUUAAUUUUUAUCAGAAUUUAAUUUAAGAAAAUUAUUAUUACUGAAUUUAAGACUUGUGCAGAGUUUCUUCCAUGUACAUUCAGCUGUCUGUGUAGACCUUACCCUCAUCAAGAGUGUGCUCCCUCUGAUCUGGGAUCAGUGUUGUUUUUUACAUUUUUAACAUUAGCUUCACAUUUCACACACUUUCAAGAAUGUGAAACGUUUGUUUGAAGGGUUCGAGCUCAGCUGGUACUGUGUUCACUGACUCAGCUUUCAAAUAAAUGACUUUCAAAUUUU